rnacentral:rRNA from 1 species
GACAGAGGGUGCAAACGUUGUUCGGAAUUACUGGGCGUAAAGCGCAUGUAGGCGGCCAAGCAGGUCGGAUGUGAAAUCCCUCGGCUCAACCAAGGAAGUGCAUCCGAAACUGCAGAGCUUGAGUACUUAAGAGGAUCGCGGAAUUCCCGGUGUAGAGGUGAAAUUCGUAGAUAUCGGGAGGAACACCAGUGGCGAAGGCGGCGAUCUGGGAAGAUACUGACGCUGAGGUGCGAAAGCGUGGGGAGCAAACAGG